GAUGAACGCUAGCGGCAGGCCUAAUACAUGCAAGACGAACGGCAAGAUUUUUAGCAAUAAAGAUCCUAGAGUGUCGUAAGGGUGCGUAACACGUAUGCAAUCUGCCCUCAACAGGAGGAUAGCUCCCCGAAAGGGGAAUUAACACUCCAUAAGAUCACACAAUGGCAUCAUUGAGUGAAUUAAAACUACGGUGGUUGAGGAUGAGCAUGCGCAUGAUUAGUUA
rnacentral:rRNA from 1 species